rnacentral:rRNA from 1 species
UUCACCAUGCAAGUCGGACGGCAGCACAGAGAAGCUUGCUUCUUGGGUGGCGAGUGGCGAACGGGUGAGUAACAUAUCGGAACGUACCGAGUAGUGGGGGAUAACUAAUCGAAAGAUUAGCUAAUACCGCAUACGUCUUGAGAGAGAAAGCAGGGGAUCUUCGGACCUUGCGCUAUUCGAGCGGCCGAUAUCUGAUUAGCUAGUUGGUGGGGUAAAGGCCUACCAAGGCGACGAUCAGUAGCGGGUCUGAGAGGAUGAUCCGCCACACUGGGACUGAGACACGGCCCAGACUCCUACGGGAGGCAGCAGUGGGGAAUUUUGGACAAUGGGCGCAAGCCUGAUCCAGCCAUGCCGCGUGUCUGAAGAAGGCCUUCGGGUUGUAAAGGACUUUUGUCAGGGAAGAAAAGGUUGGUGCUAAUAUCGCUGACUGAUGACGGUACCUGAAGAAUAAGCACCGGCUAACUACGUGCCAGCAGCCGCGGUAAU